CGAGGGAGCACUAUACAAUCUGCUCUCACGGGAUAUUAGUAUACGCCCCGGCUUACGGGAGUGGUUUCUGAGACACCCUUUUGAUAGAAUUUCCCCUAGAAAAAUGAUGAUAUAGCUUUGCAUGCCCUUCUUUCCUUGGAUAUCCGAUACCAAUUAAGCCUUUCCUUCAAAGCAUGGACUCGCUCCAGCUUCCCCUCGAUGAAGUACCCAAUAAUCUGGUGGAAGAAACUUCCAUUUAAGGAAAGUAGCUCUGGUUCACUGUUUCCAUGGCGUGAGCGGAACUAUUUGCACGGCCCACCUUGCAAAGACUCUUAUUUCAAUGGUGCCACACCAACUUCUACCGUUAAUAUGCUACUUUCCCUCAAACCAAUACCUAAAAACCAGUUUGAAAUGAACCUUCCAUUUAAUGAAAAUGACACUAUUUCAGAGCUCCCAUGGCAAAAACCGCAUAACUUAUCCGACCCAAUGGCAAAUUCACCACUAUCAAAGGGCCCAUCAAAGGGCUUAGGAAACCCCGAAAAUAAGAAGUGGCAACAAGUGUUACCUACACUUUCCUUCCUAAGAAAGAUACUGCUCCAUGGCUGAGAGGUCCACUUCUAUUGCCUGCUGACGAUGUGUUGGAUUUAUCCAAAAGUAGAAAAAAUAAAGUAAUGAAAAGAAUUCAGAUGAUAAAGCUCUUACUGGAGGAGAUCGGGGAGGAAGGAGCAAGCAUGCAAUACAUUUAAUUAUGGAAAACAUCACAAAACUGAAGGAGAUUCAUGAAGAAAAUGAGCAAAAGAAAGAAAACCACAUUGUUUUAUCAGAUGAAGUAGCCAUUCCAAGCAAAAUUAAAUCUAGUUUUAGUGAGGGGGCCACAAAUUCAAUAGUGGCAAGUUUAAUUUACCAUUGAAGGAAGUAUCUGUUAGUGAAGACCAAGGUAUGAAAACCAUAUUGCCAUGGACAUUGGCUGAAAAGAUUGUUUCUCGAAGAGUGAAGGAGGAAAAGACUCCAACUAAAGCAGAAUUGAGCUUACCAGAGCCUCUUCUACAAGGUUGAGAGAUCAAGCUCGGACAUUGGCAAAAUGGGUUAAAAUGAAGAAGGCAGGUGUAACUCAAGAAGCAAUGAAUGAAAUAUAUGCUGUUUGGAAGAGUAGGGAACUUUCUAUACUCAAGUUUUAUGUGCCAUUAUGCAGGAACAUGGAUAGAGCGACAGAAUUCGGGGAGGUUGGUUAAACUGGCUCCGUUUUACGUAUUUUAUUUCUACUGCUUAAUUAUGUCAGACAUGAAUUGGAAGG